UACGUAGGGUGCAAGCGUUGUCCGGAAUUAUUGGGCGUAAAGAGCUCGUAGGCGGUCUGUCGCGUCGGCUGUGAAAACUCGGGGCUCAACCCCGAGCCUGCAGUCGAUACGGGCAGACUAGAGUGCUGUAGGGGAGACUGGAAUUCCUGGUGUAGCGGUGAAAUGCGCGGAUAUCAGGAGGAACACCGGUGGCGAAGGCGGGUCUCUGGGCAGUAACUGACGCUGAGGAGCGAAAGCGUGGGGAGCGAACAGG
rnacentral:rRNA from 1 species